UACGUAGGGGGCUAGCGUUGUCCGGAUUUAUUGGGCGUAAAGAGCGUGUAGGCAGCCAGGUAGGUCUGCUGUGAAAACUCGAGGCUCAACCUCGAGACGCCGAUGGAAACCAUCUGACUAGAGUCCGGAAGAGGAGAGUGGAAUUCCUGGUGUAGCGGUGAAAUGCGCAGAUAUCAGGAAGAACACCCGUGGCUAAGGCGGCUCUCUAGUACGGUACUGACGCUGAGACGCGAAAGCGUGGGGAGCGAACAGG
rnacentral:rRNA from 1 species